GCCGCGGUAGCUCAGUGGUAGAGCAUAUCCCUGAAGAGGAUGUGGCCGUCAGUUCGAUUCUGACCCGCGGCACCA
rnacentral:tRNA from 2 species